rnacentral:rRNA from 1 species
UACGUAGGGGGCAAGCGUUGUCCGGAAUUAUUGGGCGUAAAGCGCGCGCAGGCGGUCUUUUAAGUCUGAUGUGAAAGCCCACGGCUUAACCGUGGAGGGCCAUUGGAAACUGGAGGACUUGAGUACAGAAGAGGAGAGUGGAAUUCCACGUGUAGCGGUGAAAUGCGUAGAGAUGUGGAGGAACACCAGUGGCGAAGGCGACUCUCUGGUCUGUAACUGACGCUGAGGUGCGAAAGCGUGGGUAGCGAACAGGAUUAGAUACCCUGGUAGUCCACGCCGUAAACGAUGAGUGCUAGGUGUUAGGGGGUUUCCGCCCCUUAGUGCUGCAGUUAACGCAUUAAGCACUCCGCCUGGGGAGUACGGCCGCAAGGCUGAAACUCAAAAGAAUUGACGGGGACCCGCACAAGCGGUGGAGCAUGUGGUUUAAUUCGAAGCAACGCGAAGAACCUUACCAGGUCUUGACAUCCUCUGACGGCCCUAGAGAUAGGGAGUUCCCCUUUCGGGGACAGAGUGACAG